rnacentral:misc_RNA from 1 species
GUAGGUGAACCUGCGGAAGGAUCAUUAUUGAAUUAUUAGGUGAGGGUUGUCGCUGGCCUCUCGGGGCAUGUGCACGCCCGAGCCAUCCCCCAACAAACACCGUGGGCCUUCGGGCCCGCGUAUAUUUACUCUGAAUGUGUAUAGAAUGUAAACCGUUCGUUUGCCCUGAAAAAGCAAACGAAAAAAAGUACAACUUUCAACAACGGAUCUCUUGGCUCUCGCAUCGAUGAAGAACGCAGCAUCUGACUGA